UACGUAGGGGGCAAGCGUUGUCCGGAUUCAUUGGGCGUAAAGAGCGUGUAGGCGGCCAGGUAGGUCGGUUGUGAAAACUGGAGGCUCAACCUUCAGAGGUCGACCGAAACCAUCUGGCUAGAGUCCGGGAGAGGAGAGUGGAAUUCCUGGUGUAGCGGUGAAAUGCGCAGAUAUCAGGAAGAACACCCGUGGCGAAAGCGGCUCUCUGGAACGGUACUGACGCUGAGACGCGAAAGCGUGGUGAGCGAACAGG
rnacentral:rRNA from 1 species